rnacentral:rRNA from 1 species
UACGUAGGGGGCGAGCGUUGUCCGGAUUCAUUGGGCGUAAAGAGCUCGUAGGCGGUUUGGCAAGUCGGGUGUGAAAUCUCUGGGCUCAACUCAGAGAGGCCACUCGAUACUGCUAUGACUAGAGUCCGGUAGGGGACCAUGGAAUUCCCUGGUGUAGCGGUGAAAUGCGCAGAUAUCAGGAGGAACACCGAUGGCGAAGGCAGGUCUCUGGGCCAUUACUGACACUGAGAAGCGAAAGCGUGGGUAGCAAACAGG